AUUUUCUUAAGAAAUGCAAAACAUUGGAAAGGCAUGAAAAAAUGAGGAGUUGUAAGCACAGUUAAAAGUUUGGAAAACUUCAAUGGAGCAUUGCUUGUGUUAGAGAAAAGAGAAAAUCUUACGCAAGUGCGAUAAAGAAAUGACAAGAAAGAUUUCCAGAUGGGAAGGAUAUGCACUUGCUCUGUAUUAUCUCAAUCCUGGCCUUGUCUAAGAAGACAGUCCUGGAAAAAAAAAAAAAAAAAAAAGAAGACAGUCCUGUGUUCCCUGGCCCAAAGUUCCAUGAGAACAGUCUCUCCUUUCAUCAUUGUACAUACAACUUCUAUUGAACUAAUUGUAAUAUAAUGGUUAAUGUUGAAUUGGCUGAAUUCAUGAAUUAAAGAUAAGUAAAAUUAAAUGUAGAUCUUCUUCCUUUUCUGAUCAAAGGCAAUAAAUCUUACGGA
rnacentral:lncRNA from 12 species